GAAACAGCCUUCGCCUAUUCUCAAACUUUAAAUAGGUAAGCUCUGGGUUUCUUAAUUGAACCUAGGGGUGUAAUGAGAGCUCCAUGUGGGCCAUUUUUGGUAAGCAGAACUGGCGAUGCGGGAUGAACCGAAAGCCGGGUUAAAGUGCCAAACUGCGCGCUAACCUAGAUCCCACAAAGGGUGUUGAUUCAUACAGACAGCAGGACGGUGGUCAUGGAAGUCGAAAUCCGCUAAGGAGUGUGUAACAACUCACCUGCCGAAUGAAUUAGCCCCGAAAAUGGAUGGCGCUUAAGCGCGCGACUUAUACCCGGCCAUCAGGGUGAGUACGAUACCCUGAUGAGUAGGAGGGCGUGAAGGCUGUGGCGCAGCUUGGGGCGUGAGCCCGAGUGAAACAGCCUUUAGUGCAGAUCUUGGUGGUAGUAGCAAAUACUCAAAUGAGAU
rnacentral:rRNA from 1 species